rnacentral:rRNA from 1 species
CCAAUAGCGUAUAUUAAAGUUGCUGCAGUUAAAAAGCUCGUAGUUGAAUUUCGGGACCAAUAUGUCGGUCGUGCCUCGGUACGUACUGGCAUCGUUGGUUUCUCCCUUCUGACGAACCAUGAUGUCAUUUAUUUGGUGUUGUGGGGACUCAGGACUGUUACUUUGAAAAAAUUAGAGUGUUUAAAGCAGGCUCACGCUUGAAUACAUUAGCAUGGAAUAAUGAAAUAGGACGUUUGAUUCUAUUUUGUUGGUUUCUAGGAUCGACGUAAUGAUUAAUAGGGAUAGUUGGGGGCAUUAGUAUUCAAUUGUCAGAGGUGAAAUUCUUGGAUUUAUUGAAGACUAACUACUGCGAAAGCAUUUGCCAAGGAUGUUUUCAUUAAUCAAGAACGAAAGUUAGGGGAUCGAAGACGAUCAGAUACCGUCGUAGUCUUAACCAUAAACUAUGCCGACUAGGGAUCGGAUGAUGUUAAUUUUUUAAUGACUCAUUCGGCGCCUUACG